GUUGUAUUUGAUCGUUUUUGCGUUGUACACGCUGUAGUAGUUUACAUUUUACUAUAUCCGAUUUUUAAAUUUUGUGACUUAGUCACGGUUAUCGUUUUACUAAAAGUUUUGUGAAAAAUGACGAAACCAAUAGUCCUCAGUGACGAGGCGAAAAACAACAGGAAUAACAAGAUAUUUUGAAAACUAAUAAAAAAUUAAAUUUUUUUUUUUAAAAUAGUUCAACACGCACAAUGUGAGUUUUUAUACGAAAUAUUUAAUUUAAGCAUAAGUGUAAGAGUAAACCAGUACGAUAAAUUUUGCGCGAGUUUAAUAUGGCGUAAUAAGUCAUUGCAUCAAUUACACCGUCUUUCAAAAAUCCAAAAACAAUUUUUUACGAUUUUUACGCUUUCAAUGUAAUGUACAGAACUCCUCGUUCUAGCUAUGAUAGUGUACAUGGUUUUUUCACUAUUAUAAUUACGCCUCUAAUAGGAUAAUGCGUAUAAAUUAUUAGUUGAAAAGGUUUUGAAUAUUUGGUUUUCAUACGAAAUUAUUAAAUAACGUUGUGGAUUGCCAGAAUUAAUAGAAUUAAUAAAUUUUAAAAUUAAUUUGCCCAAUGUAAGACAUAAAUCUCUUUACCGAAUCCACCCAGUAUUUCAUACAAUUAUAUGGCACUAUACGUGUUAAUGUCGACUGGCAAUACUCGUACAUUAAUAAUAUAGAUUUUUUUUCACUCGUCAUCCAAUGUUCUUAAUAAUGUAUUUUAAUAUUGAAAUGUUGUAUGUUUGUGCGUUGUAUAUUCUUCUUUUUGUAACACUUAUUUAUGUACGUAUUUUAUUGUUUUUUUUUUUUUUUAAAUUUUUAAACGUAUCAGUCAUUUUAUAUUAAAUUAUGUAAAAUGGAAUUGUUCUGUAAUAAAGAGUAUUAUUGUUAUAAAAAACUCAAAUAUUUAAUUUGAUUCAACUAGAUGAACGAUGAUAAAAUUUAUAUGAUUUUUUUUUUAUCGUUAAUAAUAUUUAACUAAACGUAUGUAUUUAUAAGUAGAAUAUAUUACACGUCAGCAUCAUUAAUAUGUAUAAUUAUGAUAUUUUAUGCAUUGGUUAGGAAUUCUGUACAAUACCUGACCAUUUCUAAAGAAGUGUACGGUAUAUUUUUUUUCACAAGCAUUCCUUGAGUAUUUUAGGCAAUAACUAAGAAUUUCAUAUUACGACAAACCUAUUUAUUUUUAUUUUACUGACUAAUUUUAUUAAACUUAUUGAUUAUCUUUUAUUUUAAUCAAUUGUUUUUUUUUGUUUUUUUUUUUUUUUUAGUGAUAAAUACUACAAUUGAUUUGAAUUCAGAAUACCCUACUGAUAGAGCAAAUUUCAAGACAACAUUACUGAUUCUAACUUAAAGAAACAAAUCAUCGCGUAUGGUCCAUAUAAACCAACAAACAAUCAAUAUCUUUUGAAAAAUGUCUGUUUGAAAAAUUCUGGUCGUUCUUUUUCAAUUGUUUUUCGGUUGUAAUGAAGUAAGAUAUACUGUGAAACUUGUUGGCUCUAUGCAAACAGAUUGAAUGCAAAUUUCAAGCAUAACUGGAUUCAUGGUAUAUUUGACUGGAAAAAUUGGAGUACUAUUUUGAUAUUUCAAUGUAAUAUUGAGGUAAAAUCGAGAAAAAUGAACAUACC
rnacentral:lncRNA from 1 species